rnacentral:rRNA from 1 species
UGGGCGCAGCCUGAUCCAGCCAUGCCGCGUGUGUGAAGAAGGCCUUCGGGUUGUAAAGCACUUUCAGUGGUGAGGAAGGCCUUGUAGUUAAUAACUGCAAGGAUUGACGUUAGCCACAGAAGAAGCACCGGCUAACUCCGUGCCAGCAGCCGCGGUAAUACGGAGGGUGCGAGCGUUAAUCGGAAUUACUGGGCGUAAAGCGCACGUAGGCGGUUUGUUAAGCAAGAUGUGAAAGCCCAGGGCUCAACCUUGGAAUUGCAUUUUGAACUGGCAAGCUAGAGUUUUGAAGAGGGUGGUAGAAUUUCCAGUGUAGCGGUGAAAUGCGUAGAUAUUGGAAGGAAUAUCAGUGGCGAAGGCGGCCACCUGGUCAAAAACUGACGCUGAGGAGCGAAAGCGUGGGGAGCAAACAGGAUUAGAUACCCUGGUAGUCCACGCCGUAAACGAUGUCAACUAGUUGUUCGUGUCAUUAUGACGUGAGUAACGCAGCUAACGCACUAAGUUGACCGCCUGGGGAGUACGGCCGCAAGGUUAAAACUCAAAUGAAUUGACGGGGGCCCGCACAAGCGGUGGAGCAUGUGGUUUAAUUCGAUGCAACGCGAAGAACCUUACCAUCCCUUGACAUCCAGCGAAUUCUUCAGAGAUGAAGAAGUGCCUUCGGGAACGCUGAGACAGGUGCUGCAUGGCUGUCGUCAGCUCGUGUUGUGAGAUGUUGGGUUAAGUCCCGCAACGAGCGCAACCCUUAUCCUUAGUUGCCAGCACAUAAUGGUGGGAACUCUAGGGAGACUGCCGGUGAUAAACCGGAGGAAGGUGGGGGACGACGUCAGUCAUCAUGGCCCUUA